rnacentral:rRNA from 1 species
GGGAAACAGGUUAAUAUUCCUGUACUUGGUGUUACUGCGAAGGGGGGACGGAGAAGGCUAUGUUAGCCGGGCGACGGUUGUCCCGGUUUAAGCAUGUAGGCUGAUUGUCCAGGCAAAUCCGGAUAAUCAAGGCUGAGGUGUGAUGACGAGGCACUACGGUGCUGAAGUAACAAAUGCCCUGCUUCCAGGAAAAGCCUCUAAGCAUCAGGU